ensembl:lncRNA
GUCGAGAUCAAGAACAAGAAAGAAGUGAGACAGAGAAGCACGAUGGAUGAAUUCAGAUGGAUUAAAAUGUUUUCAUGUCUGAUGCUCAUGAUUCAGAUCGCAGUAUCUGUAACUGAAGCCUCCAUGUUUAUUAAAGUUGGAGAUGACGUCACUCUGCCUUGUGUGAAUGUGAUAGAUGAGCAGAAUAACUGUGAUGGGACUACGUAGAGCUGAUCACACUUGGACAGAUUGGUGAACAAGCUAAAACUAAAUCAGACAGACUGAGAGUUACAGUGAACUGUUCUCUGCUCAUAAAGAAGCUCACAGUCGGGGAUGUUGGUUGUUAUUAUUGUCGACAAUACGAAGUCAAAGAAACACCAUCUAAACACACUCAGGUUCAUCAGUCUUUGGCUCGUCUCUCUGUUAUUACCUUGACUGAACAUAAGGACAAUGAUACGCUGAAGUUAAGCUGCUCUGUGCUGACAUAUGAACAGUGUCAUCAGUGAAGUGGCUGCUUACAGGUCAAGAUGUGGACAAAGAGAACAAACAAUUAGUGACUUCACAGACUCACUGCGCUGCCACUGUGUCUGUUCUGAAGAAUAAUUUUUUGUACUCAUCACAUCAUAAAACAGUGAAGUGUGAAGUGACUGAUACUGAAACAGGAGAAGUGCAGCUGUUUACCUUCAGCCGUCAGACCUCAGGUGAGGAAACAGGUGACACAAAAACAACAAAGAAUCCAGCCAGAAAAACUGAAACAACCACAACAAUUAAGACGCUUCUAAAAUCAGAUGAUACAACAGCAAAAACUGUGGAAAGUGAAAACACGACACCAAACAACAAAUCAUCUGCAGAUUCACAACAUGCGAUCCAGUGGUUCAUCAUUCCAGCUGUGGGCUUCGUCUCACUCUUGAUAGUUGUUUUGUUUUUCAUCAGAUGGAAGAGAACUAGAGGAAACAAAACACAGAUGGAUGAAGAUGCUGGACUGAGUUUAAACCCAGCAGAGACUCGGUCUGCUCCUCAAACCAGUCAGGACUCGGCAGAUCCUGAAGUUUCCUACGCUACCAUCAGCUACACCAAGACCACGAAUAAAGUUCAGGUUCGUGGUGAUGAUGAAGGUGAUGCAGUGACCUACAGCACUGUGAAGGCUCAUUCCUCUUCUGCUGCAGCCACUGCUGAUCCCAGCAGCCUCUACUCUACUCUCAGUUUCCCAGUCACAUAGUUCAAGUUGACAAAAAGGACUCGCAUUUAAGUUAAAGACUAAUUUUGUGUUUGCAUGCAACAGAUUGAUAGCGACGUGCUAAUUAUCAUAAACUAUUAGAUAGAUACCAUUAUUAUAACAAACAUUUGGUUUCAAAUCCAGAAGCACGUCUUUAUAUCCUCCAUUAAAACUAUAUAAAUAAAUGUAAAUAGAAACUUUAUUUUCUUUAUGAAAUCAGACCAGUGUGUUUCCAGAAUGUGAUCACUGGAGGGCAACUUGCAUGUGACAAAUAAAGUUCUGAUUGAUUGAUUGAAGUGUGAAUAUCUAAAUGUACCCACAUAAGCCUGGUAUAGAUAUUAAAGAUAUAGUUAUACAUUUAUAUUUUACAAAAACAUUUCUGCUAACAUUUGUACAUUAUUAACAUAUUUGCAACUUAACAACAAAAAGUUGUUCCUGGUUAGUUCAGCAGAAGACAUGUGGAGGUUAAAUGUAAUUUAAACCCUGCUAACACUUGCUGUUCACUUUAAUUUAGCUUCAGUUUUUUAUUUCCUGUUUUACUUUGAAGUUUACUUUUCUUUCAUGUCUCACAUUACUCCUACUUUUUAUUUUGUUAUUUCUCAAUCUGCCCAUAUUGUCUUCAUCUGUGUUUAUCCUAAACCUCAACUAGUCCUCGAUGUAUAUAAAGUCCUGUCCUCCUUUAUCUUUCCCUGAUCAUUUGUUGGAUCUUGUGAUUCGGGUUUCUUCUUUAAGUUUUGUUUAGUUCCUUCCACAUUCAGUUCUCAAUUUUGUUUUCGUUACAUUUUAAUAUGAGCAAUUUUUAAGUCUGCUGUUUUCCAUUUUAUUUCUGC